rnacentral:tRNA from 1 species
GGCGGUUUGGCUGAGUGGUAUAAGGCGAUUGACUAGAUAUCAAUUCUCUUCGGAGGCGCAUGAAUCAUGCAGCCGUCG